rnacentral:lncRNA from 10 species
AGAAAAAUGGCCACUACAUUUUAAGUGCUAAUUUAAGAAUGGCUGCUGCUUCUUAGAGAUUGUUGAGUAUACUGAUUCUAAAUUAUGUAGUUUAAGUUGUGUAAAUUUAAAUUCUGGAGUAGGUUUUUUUUUAUAUCAUAUCCAUCAUAAAACAGCUGUUUUCACUUGCCAUAGGUGAAACUAUGGGUAAACAUUUCUUUUAUGUGCAGGUGUGUUGUAGCAAUAGAACUUGUUAACAGUGUAAGUGCUUAAGGAAUUUUUAGUGCAGAUUCUGUGAGUUAAAAUUACAGUAUGGAAUGGUCAUGAAGCCUGAUUUCCUUCCUCAGCCCCACUGUCCAGUAGAAAAAUGAUCCAGAUUUAGUCUUCAAUAUGUAAUCUAUCUUCUUCUUGGAUGUGCAGAAGGGUUUGUAUUAUAUUGUAUUUAAGGCUUAACAUCUCAUGCCAAGUAAUUUUUUCUUCUGAAUCACAGUAAAACUGUGUGGAAAUCAGUUCAAGAAAAAUUUGCUUGAUGGUAGUGCAUGAUGGUAAGUGGGGCAUUGGGAGUUCAUCCUGAGUAAAGGAAGAGAGCCUGUUUCUCAAGCAGAGUCCAUUCUGCUAGUGAAUUGCCCACUUCUCCAAAUGAACAUAAUGCAGUUAGGUCAGGGAGAAUGACACAGGAGGCUCAGCAUCAUUUCUGUCUCCUCACUUUUCUUGGCACCAUAUCCUAACACAAAGGUUUAUUGAAUAUUUACCUAAAAUUUCUCCCACAUUGGUUAUUUUCACUUCUGUGGUUUGACACUGUGAUACCA